rnacentral:rRNA from 1 species
UACAGAGGAUGCAAGCGUUAUCCGGAAUGAUUGGGCGUAAAGCGUCUGUAGGUGGCUUUUUAAGUCCGCCGUCAAAUCCCAGGGCUCAACUCUGGACAGGCGGUGGAAACUACCAAGCUGGAGUACGGUAGGGGCAGAGGGAAUUUCCGGUGGAGCGGUGGAAUGCGUAGAUAUCGGAAGGAACACCGGUGGCGAAAGCGGCGCGCUGGAUCUCUUCUGACGCUGAGGCGCGAAAGCCAGGGGAGCAAACGGG